AUGAAAGGUUGUACGCGCUGGUUGUUAUGGUUCAUCAUGGUUUCUAAGGAUUAAAGGCAUACGACUAUUAAUGCGUAUCUUUAUACAUUAUUCAGCUCUUACGGUGAUUUCUGAAGUUAUAAAGGAUAUUUCCACGGUGUUGAAUGUGCAAUAAAGCUUUCAGAAACAUCAGUAAAAGUUUCGGCCAUCAUUAGGACAGGGUCCGCUACAGUAAGAGCUUCAUCUUCGCUGGUUCAGAUGCUCGCUGCACGUGCUGACUGACCGUUUCAACGUGACGAUGGUCAAUGGACUGCAGGACUUCGGAAUCGGUGUGAUGGUCUACGGAGCUGAGACACGAACAAGAAUCUGAAAGCCUGCUCCAGACGGGAACAGAAGUUUUCACGGUGUCUGCUGAAAAGAGAGAGAGACAGAAAGACAAAUAAACAGCGAAAAAGACAUCUGUAUGAAGCGUGGCUAUUAUUUCAUUAGACCAUUGCAGCUACAGUGAAAACGUAACGCCAGCAAAGUCGACAGUUUCCAGCGUGGCACGGUACCGGUCGGAUAAGAAGAGAAAACAAGAUCGCAUCGCGUCGGAAAAGAAGUAGGAAAAAAAGGAGGAAACACGAUCGCGUGGGUAGAGAAGGCGUCAGAGAAGAGGCUUGCCGUUUCAUAGCUGUCACAGCCGAGGAAAGUACUGCGACCCGAUUUGUAGAGGCCGACAUUCAGCUACCGCCUUGCAAGUAUCCUUUCUACAGGCUUCAGAGUACACUGUUUGUUUGUUAAUCCCAACUUUACUUCAAGCUGAAGAGUCCUGCUCUGCAAUUAACAGCAGGUGAGGAUUCAUUCGAGCUGCACUCUGUGGACAUGGAGCUGGAGGCCGUGGAGAAACAGAUCUGCGACCUAUAGGCCCAGCGCACCAAGGACGCGGCCCACCCAGGUUUUGUUCACUCCAGUGCCGGGGUACCACGCAGCCUGGAUGCAGCAGCAGCGGAAGACAUGAGCCAAGCCCCAGUCGAGGACCUCUCCCCCUCCGUCGCCACCCGUUUUCGAGAUUUCGACCCGCAACCACUUCGCUCUCCUUCGCGAGACGGAGUGUGACCAAGUGAUCAUCGGAGACUGCAUCAUCCGGCACGUCCGUGCUACCGCGGCUAAAGGUAAGGUGCGCACUCGCUGUUUUCCUGCUGCUCGUGUCGUUGAUGUCGCUGCAUAGGUACCCGUGAUGCUAAAUAAGAACAUCGGAGCUGUGGUCCUCCAUGCUGGCACGAACGACAUCAGGCUGAGGCAGACAGAGAUCCUGAAGAAGGACUUGAGGAGCCUGGUAGAGAAGGUUCACACCACAUCGCCCAUGAUGAGGCUCUACCGUUCUGAUGGCCUGCACCCAAGCAGAGUUGGAGCAGCAGUCCUCUCGGACAACAUCUCCAGGACACUACGCACCAUCUGACUGCCUUUGACCAGUUUUCUACACAAUCAGAAGUAAAGUUGAUCAGUGCCACUAAUGGACAGAAGGUUGCAAUCAAGUCUCCAAAAAGAUGCCAUUUGAAAAACUGCAGCUUGCACACCUGAAAAUGCCCCUCCUGAGUGGUUCAGACAGGAGCAGUACCAGACAGACCCCGCUACCGUCUUUUCUGUGGGUGUGACGCUGUACAGGCUGGUGUGUGGCUGUCUUCCUUUCGAGACCAUUAGGGAAACGACAAAUGGCUAUUUGUUCUUCCCCACGAAAGUCUGUCUCAAGGCAAGGAACUAUACUCAAUUUAAUACUUUUGAAAAAUUAUGAUUCAGAUUAGGAGGUAAAUUCUCCCAACCAGGAAAGGGUGCUAGUUCCAGCCAAUCGUCACAGUAUUUAAGCAGUCCUGUGUGCACGCUAAUGUGAAGUACUGUAAUGAGAAAAUGAGGAAAAGAAAGAAAAGAAUUGACAACAAAAAUCGUGUUUUCCAGUAAAAAUGGGAAACAGAUUAUCUUUUCAAGAGUUCAAGGGGGCACCCAUUUGUUUGGUUUGUUUAGAAAUGAGGUCUGUAAUGAAGGAUUUUAAUUUAAAUCACCAUUACACCACUACUCCCAAAUAUAAGUAUGAAAGAUACACCGGUGACGCCAGAAUUGCUCCCAUCACAAAUUUGUAAAAGUAAAAUACAUCGUCAGCAAAACCUUUUUGCCAAAUGCAUGACGGUGCAAGAAUCCUCACUAAAGGCAUCUUAUGCUGUUUCACUUGUGCUUGCAAAAGCAAAGAUGAUGUUAUCAGAGGGCGAAAUUGUACAUCAAUACGCGAUUGAGAUGGCUAAAGCAUUUGGAGAAGAGAAAAUAGUCAUGAACUUUGAGUCUGUAUCUUUGUCCCGCCGAACAGUAACGUGGAAUUUCUGACUUUCAAUGUCAAGUCUAAGAAAAACUAAAAUAUGCAAUAAACAAUUGCAAAUACUUUUCUCUUGCGCUGUAUGAAAGUACAGACGUGACCGAUGCCAGUCAGCUCCUGAUCUUUGCAAGAACGAUUACAGGCAACUUUAAUGAUCAAGAGGAGCUGUUAAAGCUGGCUUCAUUACAUGACACCACUACGCUUCAGUGGCCUGUAUGGCCACACCUGUGUCUCAAAGGAGAAUCGAGAUGCAGAGCAUUAUGAGGAAGUAACCUCCAAAUGAUCUUGGCUUGUUCUACAUUGAAUCACACAUGACUAAAUGCACUAAUACUUUGAAUUUUGAAUAUAAUGUUUCAUUUCUAAAAUUGUAAGACUGUUAUGAUCUAGCUGUGCUAAUGUAUAAUUGAGAGCAUGAGCUUCAGGCAGAAUUACAGUUGAACAUGCCAAAUGAAUCUGCUUUUGUUAAAUUUGUUUCUCAACAAGGACUUGUCAUAAUCACUUUUUCAGAACUGACAUUGAAAAGGGAAAUUAAAUAGUUUUUGGAUUUAGGGUCUCUAGCUUUUAUAAUCAAUGGGAAAAUGAAUUUCAAAUAGCAAGAAUUCUGUUGUUUAGAAAUGAGUUUUUAUUGUGAUUUUACUUUUGAAUAACCACAGACCUGAGGAACUACUGUACAAUGACUUUAAUCAUUGCCUUUCAGUCCUAUGUAGAUGUUGUGGCAAUAAUGUUAAGCUCCAACUCUUCUGCAUUCAUGCGUCUCCCGAACAUCUCCUGAUCAGCUACAGGCGCUUUGCGUGUUCGCUCGGCCGAGGUGGAGGGUCAGCGCGCACACAGGAGCAGCAGUGGAGUGAAGUUCUGUGUUGUGUCUGAUCUUCAGUCAAGAGGAGCUGAACAUGCCUUAGACUUCUUGUACUUUUUGGAUUCUCUAUCAAAAGUCAAAGUCUGCUGUUGUGUGGACCACCUGUCUGGCAUUAAACUGACACCAAAACUAGCACACGAGUUGCCUGGCUGCUUGAUCUGAAAUUUUUACAUCCCUUAAGUAUGUGGUGGUGUAUUCAUCAAGU